GUGUGUGUAUGUAGGCUGGUACUCACAAUGACACAAGGCAGCCUGUGUAUGUGUCUACUCCUUCAUUUCCUGUUCUUGUGAGGCAGAUUUUCCUCUUACAGAACAUGGCAGCUCACCGUCAGAGGGGAAUGGGCCUGUUGCGGGUACGUGUCAAUGUGUGUGUCAAUAUAGUGUGUGUGUGUGUCAAUGUGCGUGUGUUGUUUUUACCAUUGGGAAGGAAAAAUCAUGCACUCAAGAAGGAAUCAAUCGCACUUGUUGCUGAUUGAGCCGCGACUCCUCCCCCUUGCUCUACCGCCUCUGCCUCUUCUACCUCCUCCUCCUCCUCCUCAAGCUCUCCUCAGCUGUGAGUGAUUAAGUUGAUCUGGAGGGGGGCUGGUGGGUGGAAGGGUAGAAGGGUGAGAGGAGGGGACAGGGUACUCACUCACAGGCUGAGUAAUGGCUUCCAGAGACCCCCGACUCCCCGGCUCUGUGCAGCACAAGGGCUAAUCAGGAGUGACAGCUCGGUCCGUUUGGACAGUGUAAAGGCAGUCCCGCUCCUGUCAGGCACAGACAUGGACAACCCUCCCCCGUCCCCCCCUUCACUGCAGGACCCCCAUCGCUAGGCCGCCCGUCCCUGCCACAACCAUCUGAGAGCAAAAUGUUGGAGCUGCAGCACUCCUGUCAACCCUAGUUUACCCUGCCAUGACCUUCUGCCACUACAAAAACAGCAUCUGCCAGCGAUCAGCCUCCGACAAGGCCUAACUAACGCUGGGACAACAUCAGCACUGGGAGGACAUGUUUACGUUCGACACCAUGACGGGUCUAGAAUCCUCAAGAGUGCCAUGAUGUGGACAGGAAACUCUGAAUCUCUCGCUCUCUCUCUCUCCCUCACAAACAUCGCACACAUUAUUCCCUCUCCUCACCCCGUUCUCUAAAAUAACAGCUUUGACACGAUCAGCGCCGGGCUGAGGGUAACUCGAGAGCAGACCGCUCGGACAAGGAGCGCUGAGGAAUCCCGAGGCUGUGAAAGAGAGGCAGUCAGGGAAACCAGGCAAAAAAAACGGAGGCAGGGUAGAAAUCGAUGAGAUGGGUGGUUUAAGGGGGAAAACUGGAAACGGGGGCCCCCUGGUUAGAUACACCAGGGUCCAUAUGGACAGGCUGCAGCAGGCCUAAGGGGGUAACAGGGGAGAGCUGUGUGUUUGCCACAGUAAAGAGGAGCAUUCACCAUGUGUCCCUUACAGUCGAAAUGGAGUGAUAUGUUGUUUUUUUGGAGGGGUUUCUUAAAUUCACAGAAGGGCAGUAAGGCGUCUGUAAACAUCUGUCAGCUAUUGCCUCUCUGAUUCACCCCUCCUCCUCAGCCAGAACACAGCAAUUCAGCUUGACCUUAGACCUCAGACUGAAGAACAAGAAACUGUGUCUUUCUGCCAAAAAACUUGCAAAGUGUUCAGUCCUCUGAUAACUACGUCAGAAAGAGGGAGAUUAUGCUGAUGUCUGUACAUGGAUAUUUUUUUAUUUGUUUAUUUAACAGGGACAUACAGUGAACAUUGCUUCAUAUAUUAAAAAACAAAGUAGAUGACAUGCUACAGGCUUCUAGCAGUGGCUAAUUUGCAAACCCCUGUCCCUGGCUAGGCUUUUAGGAUCAAAACAAAAUUCUUAGACUUAAUAGAUUACAGAAACAGUGAUGCUAUACAAAUACAGACAUUCUAAACUCCAUACAAACAAGAGACUAAAUAAGCCCAGACAGUAAAAUGAUGUUUCCGGGAGGAAACAGUCAAUGCUCACAGACUUUCUUCAAUUUCAGCCACUGUACUUGUGUCUUAAAAAUCUUGAACUCUGUCCGUUUUUCUUUUUAAAUUUCAGAUGGUAAUGUGUUCCAGAAGUGUGUUCCUCUUACUGAGAAAGAUGAUUGACCAAAUGUAGUUCUGCGUUUUGGUGCUCUACAGCUUCCACCUGAUGUAGCCCUUGUUCAGAUUAUUAAAGUUAUCCUAAUGGCUCUAUUGUGUUUUUGUGAUUUUAAUGGCAUGUAUUUGCACACUCAAGUAAAGGACAAGGUUCUGCUUUUUACAUACAAUAAGUAGACAUUAGGUUUCUUUCAAUUGCAAUUAUUAUUUCAACAAAAGCUUCAAAGUAGCCCGUGCAGCAGAUGACUUAUAUUUGUCUGAAAUCCCAGCUGUACCAAUUUGCAGUUUGAAGUAAAAUACUUAAUUGCAUAUGCCAGAAAGGAAAUCAGGCUGUUGAACAUAAUAUACCAAAACUAUUAUUUUUGAAUCAUACAAGAUUUAGAUUUUGCUCAUGUUUAAGUAACCAGUCAGUUCCAGUAAUAAGAUUUGUCUGCGGUUUGGACACUCAAGGCUCUGAGCCUCAUCAUCUCAGCCCCUCUGCCUCCUCUGGGAUCCAGGCUAGCACCAAAGACCUACAGACACACACCAGAGCCCCUCAUCAGUCCUCCCACUACUGCGCCUCUCUCCUGAGCCUCAGGUUUCCCCUCCAUCCCUCCCACCCACACGCAGGCUUCAGCCCCCUACCCACCACACCCCAGCAUCAAUUACAACCUAUUCCCCCGCAGCGCAGGCCCCUCCCUUAUGUGACCCCGGGGGUUACUGAGUCAGGGAGGUCAGAGGUGGUUCUCUCUGCUUCAACCCCAGGCAUCUCUCAGAAGUCUCUGUGGCUGGAGCCCCGUGGCUCUGCAGGGCGACACCCACACGACCCUCAACAUGCUGGGGGGGAGAGAGAGGGAUCCCCCUGUUCUGGUCAACAAUUGUCUGAUCCAGUCAGUCAACAGAAUUGUUUGCAAAUGAAAUUUAACAUUUUGAUUCUAUGUUUUUGCUCCUCUUAUCUAUGGAUCAGCUACUUCUUGCUGUAAUUUCAAUCUUUGUUCUUGUCAUGUAUGAAUCCAGUAUUAAAUACAUGAGAGAUCCCCAUAACAGGAACCAUAAAGUGGUCGCUUUUUAAUUUUACACUACAACUUUCUUUGCUCAGAAUCCCCACCCUAACCCUAACAACCUAAAAUAACAUAUUUUCUUGCAGGUUUUUCUUUAUCACCUUGAAAUGGCAAUCUGCCAAUUAAUAUUAUAAUUAUUAUUAAAAAUUGUAUUUUUAAAAUUAUACUGUGAAUUUUUCUCUCACUUUAACAUCUUAUCAGAAGUGUGUUUUGAAGAUCUACAAAUAAACAAAAUAUGAU